rnacentral:lncRNA from 1 species
CUGCUUAAGAGCUAAAAAUAAUGAAUAUAAUAAGUUCUUGUGCCCGAAACUGGAGGAACAAGUUCCUGUGCCCGAAACUGGAGGAACAAGUGCUGUGUAGGAUGCUCUACUCUGAGUAACAGGUUGGACUUAUUACAAGUAAGAUCCCGUCAGGUGAAAAGGUGGAGUAGUACCUAAAGCUUAAAAACAAUAAAUAAUAAUAAAAAAAAUAAUAAAGCUUGAAAGUAGUUGCCCCUGAGUUGAUGUUGAAAAGCUUUGGAUCUCUUGAAAAGAAAUAGCCCCCCCUAUUCUAAAAUUCUGGUUAAAUC